UAUCAUUGUUUCAAAGUAUCAAAAAUGCGGUGGCGACCGAAAUAACAAUCUCAAAGAUUAAUUGAACUAAGUGAUGAAAGCUCUCUCUUAUCGGGUGGUAUCCCAGGGGCAUAAGCCUAGCAUGGGUCGAUCCCUAUGUAUGUGUUUAUGGGUGGUAUCCCAGGGGCAUAAGCCUAGCAUGGGUCGAUCCCAGUUGAUAUGUACUGGAGGCAGCCUAAUGGUCACAAUACAGUACAGUAAUGAUUACAAAGACGAUAAGAACGAAGGUAAAGUGAUUGAAUAAAUACAAUGUACAGGUUGUCACAAGUUCUAGUAAGUGUGGUCCACUCCUAUUACGACUUAUUCACUUGUUUCUGAUUUCUAUUGAGCUCCUAUAUCAUAUGUGAUUAUUUACAGCUUUACAUACUCAGUACAUAUUUCGUACUGACGUCCCUCACGGGGGACCUGCAUUUCAUGCUGCAGGC
rnacentral:lncRNA from 1 species